UAGUUAUUGUAAAUCAAGAUUUGGUUCUUCUUCUCUCUUUAUAUAUUCAAACACACAUCUGUUGUUUCAUAUUCUUGUUGGUUGCACAGAGUUCUGGGUUAGAGGAGAGACUAGGAGAGACCAUUAGCAUACAUGACUGAAGAGAGGAAAAAAAUGGGGAGAGGGAAGAUUGAGAUAAAGAGGAUAGAAAACUUGAAUAGCAGGCAGGUCACCUUCUCCAAACGCAGGAAUGGGUUGCUGAAGAAAGCUAGAGAAUUAUCAGUUUUGUGUGAUGCUGAGGUUGCUGUCAUAGUCUUCUCUAGCACAGGAAAGCUUUAUGAAUUUUCAAGCACAAGCAUGGAACACACACUUUCAAGAUAUGGCAGUGGCCUGGAUUUGGAUUAUAAUGACCAUCCUUCUGAUGACCAUGGGGCAGAGCAUUCAAAUAGUGCAGAGGUUAAUGCAGUGAAAGAUGAACUCUCAAAGUUACGGUUGACAUGCUUGCAGAUGAUGGGUCAACAACUUGAUGGCUUGAGUUUCAAGGAGCUGCAACACCUAGAACAUCAAUUAAGUGCAGGCAUUCUGUCUGUUAAGGACAAGAAGGAACAAAUGCUGAUGGAUCAGCUUAAGAAAUCCAAAAUGCAGGAGCAAAAGGCCACUCUAGAGAACGAAUCUCUGCGUAAACAGAUUGAGGAACUCAAACGAGGAUCCCGGCCAAAGUCUGCUUUCCUGGAAUUAAGUCCUUUGGACAGGAGAUUUGCCGUAGCAAGUUCGAAACCUGAUAGUAAUCGCAAACCACAGGAAGAAGAAGAUCUUUCCGACACUUCAUUGCACUUGGGUUGCAGAAAAACAGAAGACACGAAAACUUAGCUAUUUUGAGAUUCAGCUAAAUGUAGAAUGACAGAGAUUCUAGGUUUAAGAGGCAAUUAACAAGCUGCAAGAUGCACAUAUAAAAUUUUAUACUUGGUUGUCAUCUGAUGUUUGUCACAAGAGGAAAGCUGACAAGAUUGAAUCUGUCUCCAAUGAUUCAGGAAGUCAGGUGGCUUCAGGGUGAUGAAGCAUGACAUAGAUCCUCUUAUAAUAGGAGGGUUUGUACUAGAUUAGUUGAUGAAAUUUUUGAGUAAAUUUUCAGUCACAGACAGAUGUUUUUGGUAUAUCAGUAGUUUUAACUGAUUUUCAGAGAUAACAGCCAAUGUCUGGCACAGUUUAUAAAUUGCUAUAUGAAUAAUGCUAAUCUUUUCCGAAUUCA